CAUCUGGGCAUUAUUUUGACUUUUGAGAGGUUAGGAGAGAGGGGUAGAGAGGGAUCUACUUUGUAUUCAUGUAUUCUUCACUCCUCUCAAAAUCCUCAAUCGAGACUUCAAAUCUUCAUCUCUUUUCGGAUUUUGGUUCUGUUACUUGGAGUGUUGAAAGAAGGAAAUGCAAAAUGUCAACUAGUCCAUCAUCACUCAAAAAGCACAAAGAAAAUCGGAAAUAGCGGCCACAGGAAGUUAUAAAAGGAUUGUCAUUAGAACAUUCUAGAGGGUCUACCUAAUCCAUUUUUCUGUUUCAUUGUUUGUGUAUAACUGAGGAGAAUAUUUUCUAUUUAUUUUCUUUCUUGUACAGCAAUUAUUAACAGAUUUUGGUACCUCUUCUGUAUAAAUAUAGAAUUCUAGUGGAUGUAAGAUUUAAUGGAAAUGCAUAUAUAGUUUUUCUCUCAAUUUAGAUUGUUUAGCAAUUUUUUUUGGCUGCCGAACAUAUUCUUAUACGGUAUCAGAGCAACAUGACUAAUCCUGUUAACACAAAUGAUGAUCAAAACUCAAAUUCUCCUUCCUCUCCUACAAAUACAAAUCCAAGUCCCAGCACUCAUCAUCCAUCUCAACCAAAUAGCCCAUAUUUUAUUAGUCCCAGUGAUAGCAGUGGC
rnacentral:lncRNA from 1 species